rnacentral:tRNA from 1 species
CCCCAGAUAGCUCAGCGGUUAGAGCAGGGGACUCAUAAUCCCUUGGUCGGGGGUUCGAAUCCCUCUCUGGGGA